CCGGGGGCGGGGAGGUUCGACUCGAGCGAAGCGAGAGAACGUUGCGCCAGCAACGGCCCGCAGGGCGAGCCACGAAGUGGCGAGUAAUCCUCUAUCACCGACCA
rnacentral:sRNA from 1 species